ACAUUUCUCAGAUUCAUCGACUUUCCAAGUCCUUUGGCCUUGAAGGAACUUCCAUACUGCACUUGGUGCCUGUGGUGAAGGAGACUGAGAAGGAGGAGGAAGGUAUAAUCAAAGAUUUCAGCUAAACUAUGAGCUGGUCUCAGCGGAGCGAAGCAUUCAGUGGACAUCAGUGAGCAGUGUUGAACAGAGAUCGUUGUCUAGGUAUCAGCAUUCUGGAGGAUCUGUUUGACAGCAUGUAGUGGAGACUGUAAAAUGAGAAGGAGCAGGCCCAAACAGGGGACACCAGAAGACUGGUGGGUCCUGGCAAGGCACAGUGCUAUGGGCUGAGGAUAUGAGUCAGAAGAAAUGGAAUUGUAGAUAAAGAAAAAAAAGAAAAAAAAAACCGCUUCCCGCCCUCAGCAAGUUUACAUUCUCUGGAAGAGGGACAAGACUGUGGUACUAUGUUCUUCAUGUGUGGGUGAAGAAGUGCCUCGGCUGAGAAAAUGCUAAGCCAUAACACUGAAUACCUGCCCAAAUGAAGAAGGGAUUCUUCAGAUGGUUCAAGGACUUCAGGAGAGGAAGUUGUCAUAGAGAAAAAUGUGGACUUUUGAAGUGGUAAUAGGAAUCAGCAUAGCCACAGACACGUGAGGAGCCAGGCACCAAUAUGUCUCUUCACUUCUAGUGCUUGCAACCUUAGAGACUGCUAAGAACCAGCUUUCCCUAGAUGAGAUCAUUCUUUCUCCUGGUUUGAGCUGAGAUGUUAUCUUGUUUCCAGCUGCAAAGCCCAUUUACUCUUGUGUGUUCUUUGGUUCAUUCUAACCUGUGUAAUAUCUCUGAGUUCUGUUUACUGCUUAUGUUGAAAAAGAAAUGUUCUAGCUCUAUUCACAAGGGUCUUUUGUGUAAUUAUCAUUGGGUGGGAAGGAACUAAAUUGACAAUAUCAAGCUACCUUCCCCUUGAGAGUGACCAGGACAAAUGGCCCUGGUCUUGAAGCCUUAAAAUACUGUACCUCCGGACAAGCAAUAUUUGAGAUGUAGCGGAUGCCUCUCUUGGACAGAGGAGAGAGAAAGAGCAGGUGCAUAGCCACUGUCCCCAUCCUCCC